GACAGAGGGUGCAAACGUUGCUCGGAAUUACUGGGCGUAAAGCGCGUGUAGGUGGAUUGGUGUGUCAGAUGUGAAAGCCCUGGGCUCAACCCAGGAACUGCACCUGAAACUACCAGUCUUGAGUGGUGGAGAGGGAAGUGGAAUUUGUAGUGUAGCAGUGAAAUGCGUAGAUAUUACAAGGAACACCAAUGGCGAAGGCAGCUUGCUGGGCUUCUUCUGACACUGAGGUACGAAAGCGUGGGGAGCGAACAGG
rnacentral:rRNA from 1 species